UUGUACAAAAUUUUAUGCCCCGGCGGAAAAUGAGAUUUGCAACCAUUGGAAAAGGUUGUGGGGGAUUGGGUGAGUGGAGUGUGAUGUCACCCAUGAGGUCAUGUGGUGGGCCAAUUUGUUGGAUUAAAGAAAAGGGAAAAAGGAAAAGAAAUUGGCCUCCCUUCUUCUCUCUCCUCCCUCUCUUCUUCCUCUCCCGUGCGAUUCCUCCAUGGUUGGUGUGCGAAGACCAGAAAAAUUGCAGAGGAAGAAGCCGAAGCAGCCCCUCGUCGUCCGCCUCCUUCGCCGCUCGUCGCCCGUCACCGGAGCUCGCCGCUCGUUGCCGUCGCGCCGCUGCUCUUCCCACGUUCGCCGUCGUCCUCG
rnacentral:lncRNA from 1 species